GAGAUGACGGUGUUUUCCCGCGAAGGAGAGCGCGCGUUUUUCUCUCACUGGACGCUUGGCGGGGGAACUUGCAGCGGCCGUGAGGAUUUAGCUCGCGGCAUUGCAGGCGUUUAGAGGAGGGCACUGGGUAUCGGAGUGUGUGUCCUGCCAUGCCGGCACAGCAGCCCGCGAGCAGCGGCGGGUCCCUAGCUCCAGAUAUGGUUGAACAAGCGGAGACUGCCGUGAUUACCCCAGCCAUGCUAGAAGAGGAAGAACAGCUUGAGGCUGCUGGGCUUGAGAGAGAGCGGAAAAUGCUAGAAAAGGCUCGAAUGUCUUGGGAUAGAGAGUCUGUGGAUAUUAGAUAUCGUAGACUUCAACAUUUGCUUGAAAAAAGCAAUAUUUACUCCAAAUUUUUAUUGACUAAAAUGGAACAGCAGCAAUUAGAGGAACAGAAGAAGAAAGAGAAAUUGGAGAGAAAAAAGGAAUCUUUAAAAGUUACUAAGGGUAAAAAUUCCAUUGAUGCAAGUGAGGAGAAUACAGUUAUGAGAAAGAAAAGAGGAAGAGAAGAUGAAUCAUACAACAUUUCAGAGGUCAUGUCAAAAGAGGAAAUUUUGUCUGUGGCUAAGAAAAAUAAAAAGGAGACUGAGAAUGAAAGUUCCUGCUCUAAUCUUUGUGUAGAAGAUCUUCAGAAAAACAGAGAUUCAAAUAGUAUAAUUAAAGAUAGAUUAUCUCAAACGGUUAGGCAAAAUACUAAAUUCUUUUUUGACCCAGUUCGGAAAUGUAAUGGACAGCCAGUACCCUUUCAGCAACCAAAACAUUUCACGGGAGGAGUGAUGCGAUGGUACCAAGUGGAAGGCAUGGAAUGGCUUAGGAUGCUUUGGGAAAAUGGAAUUAAUGGCAUUUUAGCAGAUGAAAUGGGAUUGGGAAAGACAGUUCAGUGCAUUGCUACAAUUGCAUUGAUGAUUCAGAGAGGAGUACCUGGACCUUUCCUGGUCUGUGGCCCUUUGUCUACACUUCCUAACUGGAUGGCUGAAUUCCAGAGAUUUACACCAGAAAUUCCUACUAUGUUAUAUCAUGGAAGUCAGCAAGAACGUCGAAAGUUGGUAAAUCAUAUUCACAAACGGAAAGGGACACUGCAGAUCCAUCCUGUGGUGAUCACUUCGUUUGAGAUAGCCAUGAGAGACCGAAAUGUGUUACAGCAUUGCUAUUGGAAAUACUUAAUAGUAGAUGAAGGACACAGGAUUAAGAACAUGAAGUGCCGUCUAAUCAGGGAGUUAAAACGAUUCAAUGCGGAUAACAAACUUCUUUUGACUGGUACUCCUUUGCAAAACAAUUUAUCAGAGCUUUGGUCAUUGCUAAACUUUUUGUUGCCAGAUGUAUUUGAUGACUUGAAAAGCUUUGAAUCUUGGUUUGAUAUCACUAGUCUUUCUGAAACUGCUGAAGAUAUUAUUGCUAAAGAAAGAGAACAGAAUGUAUUGCAUAUGCUGCACCAGAUUUUAACACCUUUCUUACUGAGAAGACUAAAAUCUGAUGUUGCCCUUGAAGUUCCUCCUAAACGAGAAGUAGUUGUUUAUGCACCACUUUCAAAGAAACAAGAGGUCUUUUAUACAGCCAUUGUGAACCGUACAAUUACAAACAUGUUUGGAUCCAGUGAGAAAGAAACAGUUGAGCUAAGUCCCACUGGACGACCAAAACGGAGAACCAGAAAGUCAAUAGAUUAUAGCAAAAUAGAUGACUUUCCUAAUGAAUUGGAAAAGUUGAUCAGCCAAAUACAGCCAGAGGUAGACCGAGAAAGAGCUGUUGUGGAAACAAAUAUUCCUGUAGAAUCUGAAGUUAAUCUGAAGCUGCAGAAUAUAAUGAUGCUACUUCGCAAAUGCUGCAAUCACCCCUAUUUGAUUGAGUACCCUAUAGACCCAGUCACACAAGAGUUUAAGAUUGAUGAAGAAUUGGUAACAAAUUCUGGGAAAUUCUUAAUUUUGGAUCGAAUGCUGCCAGAACUAAAAAUCAGAGGUCACAAGGUGCUGCUUUUUUCACAAAUGACAAGAAUGUUGGACAUUUUGAUGGAUUACUGUCACUUCAGAAAUUUCAACUUUAGCAGGCUCGAUGGAUCCAUGUCUUAUACAGAAAGAGAAAAAAAUGUAAGACUGCUCCUGUCAUACAUACUAAAUUCUUUUAUUUUCUAUCUUGAUUUCCAAAUAAUGUUCAGAAUACCUACAAAUAUGUAGAGAUAGGAAAGGCCAGAAACGCUAUGUAGUAGGAUCAAAAACAUAGCAUUUUGAUUUAGUAUUAAUAAGUCUUUGUUGUUAUUGUUCCUUUUUUGGCCACCCCAUGGCAUAUGGAGUUCCUGGGUCAGUGAUCAGAUCUGAGCUACAAUUGCUACUGAAGCUACAGCUGUGCCAAGGCCUGAUCCUUAACCCAUUGUGCUGGGCCAGGGAUUGAACCUGCUUCCCAGUACUCUGAAGAUGCCACUAUGCCGUUGCUCCACAGAGGAAACUCCAAUGCACAGCUUCAACACAGAUCCAGAUGUGUUUAUCUUUUUAGUGAGUACACGAGCAGGUGGCCUGGGCAUUAAUUUGACUGCAGCUGAUACCGUUAUCAUUUAUGAUAGUGAUUGGAAUCCCCAGUCUGAUCUUCAGGCCCAGGAUAGAUGUCAUAGAAUUGGUCAAACAAAGCCAGUUGUUGUAUAUCGUCUUGUUACAGCAAAUACUAUUGAUCAGAAAAUUGUGGAAAGAGCAGCUGCUAAAAGAAAAUUGGAAAAGUUGAUCAUCCACAAAAAUCAUUUUAAAGGUGGUCAGUCUGGAUUAAAUCAAUCUAAGAACUUUUUAGACCCUAAGGAAUUAAUGGAAUUAUUAAAAUCUAGAGAUUAUGAAAGGGAAGUAAAAGGAUCAAGAGAGAAAGUUAUUAGUGAUAAAGAUCUGGAGUUGUUGUUAGAUCGAAGUGAUCUCAUUGAUCAAAUGAAUGCCUCGGGACCAAUUAAAGAGAAGAUGGGGAUUUUCAAGAUACUGGAAAAUUCUGAAGAUUCCAGUCCUGAUUGUUUGUUUUAAAUUGGAGCUAAAGAAUGUCUUCAAAAGGUUCUUGUUUACAUCCUGUGAUUUACCUGUUCUGGUUUUGAAAUCCAGACUUUUCAGUCGUCUUUUUUGAUUAUAUCAGUUUACAUAAUAUAAUUUUGUACCAUUGCAUAAUUUUCUGAGCCUUAUUAAGAACAAAGAUAUAUUUGUAGGAAAUUUAGAUUUUCAGUUAAUUUUUCAGACUGUAGUACUCUUGGGUACAGACUGAUGUGUACUUAACCACUACCGGAUUUAUACAGUCUUCCUGUGGAAGUUUAAUAUCUUUCCCCCACCCCGCUUUUAGCAGUACAGUUUAUGGGUUUUUGGUACUUCAGUUAUGGAGUAGGCUUUAAUGGGGGAAAGAUUGGGAUUAUACUUUCUAUUGUUUAAUAAAAAAUGGUUUGAUUUUAAGGUCUAUUUCUAUAAAAUAGUUUGCCAAAUAAAUGUUUGCUAUCAGAUGAUUUUUUUUUUUUUUAAGAAAAUUAAGGGCUCAGAAAAAAGUGUUGCCUGGCAUUGUGAUUCAACAUUAUUAUGGAAACUUGAUUUUGUUCAUUAGUACCAUAUGCUUAUGUCAUAAAAAGAUUUGAACAGGACAUUGGAUUAAUACAGAGUACUGGAAGAAAUUGUAGAUUCUUGAAAAAAGACCUGACAGAAGUGGCAGUGUGUCAUGCAAAAUGAGAACAGAACAAGAGAGAAGAUGCUCUAAAAAUUUAUGUCAGGAAGGGGCCAAAAUAAGACUUAUGAUAUAAAUAACACAAAUCCAUACUAGAGGAGCAGAAAGGCCCAAAUGGGAACAACAUAGACAGUGUGGGUAUAUGAGACUGAGGAAGAGAAAUACUGAAUGGUCCCUGCAAGGAACGCUUGUGUGUAGGUUGUUUAUCUUGCUGCCAUGUAUAUUCAGAUGGAGUUCAGAUUCUCUCGGCCUUAGGGUGAUGGAACCUAGGACUCAGAAGAAAAUUUUUUUAGUCAACACAUCUUCACAAAUAACAUAUUGUGUUUAUUAAUACUUUACCAUUGAUUAUGGUUAUAAAAGUCAGGCCUAAGGAAUCAUAUUUAUGAGAAAAAUUAAGUAUUAUCUUUUGGUCUUUAUUUCUCUGGAAUCCGUUAAUUUUAUAAUUUGGUUUACCACUGCUGCUGCCUUCAGAGAAGAGGUAACAUGCCAAAAUCUAGUGAAGCUUGUCUUUCCAUUACACAUGUUUUACAUCCCUAAUUUUGGUAAUGAUUGUACCUCUGAACAGAUUUGAUUAAAAAUUGAAAUUUUUUUAA